CACGUAGGGGGCGAGCGUUGUCCGGAUUUAUUGGGCGUAAAGAGCUCGUAGGCGGCUAAGUAAGUCAGGUGUGAAAACUCCAGGCUCAACCUGGAGACGCCACCUGAUACUGCUUUGGCUAGAGUCCGGUAGGGGAGCAUGGAAUUCCUGGUGUAGCGGUGAAAUGCGCAGAUAUCAGGAGGAACACCAGUGGCGAAGGCGGUGCUCUGGGCCGGUACUGACGCUGAGGAGCGAAAGCGUGGGGAGCAAACAGGAUUAGAAACCCGUGUAGU
rnacentral:rRNA from 1 species